rnacentral:lncRNA from 1 species
UAUUCUGUAUGUGAACAAAUUUUGUGAAUCCUGAUAUGUAUCUUUAAUUUAAAGCACAAUAGAUAGAUUAGCAAGGUGCACGCACGUCUGAAAGUCUUUUUGAGAGAGAGAGAGAGAGAGAGGAGAAAAGCUCAGAGAGAAGGGGUUAGAAGGGAUUGUGGGGGAUGGGGUUGGGGUCUUUGUAGACUUAUUAUGUUAUAUUACCAAAUAUUAAUUUACUCUAAUAAUUAUAUUACUAUUAUACUAUAUUAACAUAAUAUUAUUUUAUAUUACAAUAAUAUUAUACUAUAUCGUAUAUUUAUGUAUUAAUU